ensembl:snRNA U6 U6 spliceosomal RNA
GCGCUCACAUUGGCAACACAUAUACUAAAACCAGAAUGAUACAGAGAAGGUGGUAUACCACCUGUGCAAAUAUGGCACACAAAUUUGUGAAGCAUUACAUUUAUUU